rnacentral:lncRNA from 1 species
UGUAUAUAUUUAUUUUUCAAACCCCAAUGGAAGCUCAAGAAAAACAUGUCCUUUAUUAAAGAUUGAAGUACCCUGUUAUUCAGUUAAGUUGUGAGAAAACCCAGCAAAUCCAGGGCAAUCCAUGGAAUUUUUAACUUUAAAAAAUAAAACCAAAAAUUCUUCAGUGUUCUGUGAGCAGGGAAGGACCCACCCCAAACACACAGAUUCAACUUAAAAACUCCUUUUCUGAUGACCUGAAAAUCUUUUCUAUAUGUCUAAAAAAUUUUAUCUUCUCAGCAGAUCACCAAGUGUUAUUUGCCCAUGGGUAGAUAAAAGCAACAGAAUAUAUAUUAUUCUUUAUAAAUAUUAAGGUGAAAGACAUCAAAAUGUCCCCGAAACUGUCAACUGAAGGCUCAUGUUAGUAUCUACAUACCAUUUUACCUUAUUUGUUUCUUCCUUUAAAUUUACAAUAGAAAUUGAAGGAUUUUAGAACUCCUGGGAAUGUACUAGUAAGUGGAAAUGGAAUUGAAAUCACACCAUUAGACAUCAGCUUCUUUUUCAUUUGAAUUAUCAAAACAAGCAUUUAACCAUACUCUUCUGUCAGUKUUACAGGGAUAAUAAUUUGUACCUGUCUCACAGGCCUGUGGCAUGUGAAAAGCAGGGUGAAGGAGGGGAUAUGCAAAGUAGUUGUUUAAUUAAAGACUCUUAGAUCAAAGUGAGAUUCUUGGAUUGUUUAGAUUUUGCUCAGAUACACCAGGAAAAACAGGUUUCACAUUUCUGCUUGUUUACAGCAAUACCAUAAUAAUGAUGUUUAAUCAGGAAGGAGGUCUGGUGACUAAUAAAGAUGAAGAAAUGGCCAGAGAAUGGAAAUGGCCUCAGGAUGGCAAGCUUGCCAAGCCAGUUAUAAUACAGCCAAAGUUGACAGAGCUGUUGAAGAAAUACGAAGUUCCAAAGGAGACUAUAAGCCGUGUAAAUGAUAUCAGUGUAGCCAGAGAACUGAGGAAGCUACAGAGGAAGAUCCGGAGGAUUGUGGAUGACUGGCUGGAACAUUAUCAAACUGCCCUAGAUCAGCACGGGUCAUAUCCCAGACUGCUUGUCCUGCUGUUCUUCGGAGAAUUAUGAUGGGGGAGGAAGGGAAGACAUGCAGAUGUAGUAAUCGUAAGAUUCCCCAUGUGUCAGACCUGGAGUUUGAUCACCUUAUUAACAAUCAGAUGCCCUCCAAAGAGCAGAUCAUAGUGGUCUGUGUCUCUUCUUCUUCACAAAUGAACAAGGAUCCUAGUGAAGACAAAUUAGAGCAGCUCUAUGAAAGAAAAAACAAGAACAGAAGUAUGCCUUGUGCUCAGGUGGGUUUCAUCAGGCAUUAGGUAUUUUUUGCAACACAUGGUUGAAACCUUUAGAGAGUCUUUUUGGAAUAAUUUUCUGUUUAUCUAGUUGCUAAAAUAUCUGAAAAGUGGUCUCACCAGAAAUGUCUAACUGGCACCAUCUCCAAAAUUGUGUUCCACAGGAAAUUUAAAUAUUAAAACAAAUUGUUCCAAAGUGGAACAAAGUCUAGAAGUGUUAGUUUCCUACGAAACAAAUUGUUUCAAAAAAAAUUGUUUCUGAAAAAUGAUAAUAUUUGAUUACAUAUCUUUGAAGAUAUGGAAUUCCUCACAUUGUUCCUUUUUCUGGAAGAGCCAAGGGAGUAACCCCAAAUUAUCCCUUGACGUAGAGCAAGGACCUCAAACCUUGAUUAAAAAAUCCCUAGAAUUGGAUCUUGAAGAUCUUUCUAGCUUUGUGGCACAGUACCAAUUAAGGCAUCAAAAUAACUCCUUUGCCUUUGUUGUAUUUAUCUAUUCCCUGAGAAUCUGGUCUCGCAGCAGCUAUCAUUUCUGAUUUGCAUUUGAAAAAGUUAACAUAGAAGGAGUGAAAUUUUG